rnacentral:rRNA from 1 species
UACGUAGGGCGCAAGCGUUUAUCCGGAAUUAUUGGGCGUAAAGAGCUCGUAGGCGGUUUGUCGCGUCUGCCGUGAAAGUCCGGGGCUCAACUCCGGAUCUGCGGUGGGUACGGGCAGACUAGAGUGAUGUAGGGGAGACUGGAAUUCCUGGUGUAGCGGUGAAAUGCGCAGAUAUCAGGAAGAACACCUAUGGCGAAGGCAGCACUCUGGGACGGUACUGACGCUGAGACGCGAAAGCGUGGGGAGCGAACAGG